rnacentral:lncRNA from 1 species
AUGACAUAUCCGGAAAUCAAUGUUAGAUUGAGGACGGACACAGACUUCAACUCUAUGACUGAUGAAGAACACCACCUAAAGCAAACACUGUCACCGCUAGCUAGUCUGGUCAAAAUGGUGACAAUGUUCCCAUUAGAUUACAUGCACUUGUGCUGUCUUGGGGUAACCAGGAAGUUGCUAUAUAUUUGGAUGAGGGGCAAAUCACUGGCAACUAGGUUGUCCAGUAAAUCAAUCGAAGAGAUCUCAGUUAAAUUGAAGGGACUAGGACCUUACACUCCUUCUGAGUUCAGCCGGAAACCCAGGCACCUUUCUGAAAUAGAUCGGUGGAAGGCUACAGAGCUUCGAUAUUUCAUGCUUUAUGCUGGCCCAGUAGUCUUGAAAAAUACCAUUGCCCAUGAAAUUUAUGAAAACUUUAUGUUACUUUCUGUGGCCAUGCAUUUGCUGUUGUCUCCUGGUACAUCAGAGGAAUUGAUUGAUUGCGCUCAGGGAUUGUUGACUUCAUUCGUAACUCACUUUGGGCAGCUAUAUGGGAAAGGUGAAAUUACCUACAAUGUCCAUCAGCUGACACACUUGGCGUCAGAAUACCGUCUGUUUGGUCCCUUGGACAACAUAUCUGCAUUUCCGUAUGAAAAUUAUUUAGCACAACUGAAGCGCCUAUUGCGCAAGCCUCACUUGCCUUUACAGCAAGUAGUAAAAAGGCUCUCAGAAUCACCUGCACCGACCUCGGACACUGUGAAGAAAGGCCAAAAAUACAUGCAUCCUCAUUAUGAUGGUCCAUUGAUUUCUUCAUUAAGUUAUGGAGAUCAGUACCAUAAGCUUGUUGCGGAAAAGUACACGUUAUCAUCUAGGUCUGGGGAUAACUGUUUUCAAAUUGUAAAUGACAUUACCAUUGUUGAAAACAUUGUCAGGGUAGAUCAGGAUCAGGAGACUUACAUCAUUUUUCGAAAGUUUACCAAGAAAGAGUCCUAUGGCCAGUAUCCCUUUCCAUCUGCAAACAUUGGGGUGUAUACAGUUUGGGGGUUGAGCAAGAAUGUCAGUGUGACGAGGCUUCAGCACAUUGGCAAAAAGUACAUACUUUACCCUGACAAAUUACAGUUCAUCGCCAUUCCCAUCAUUCAUACCGAUUAA